rnacentral:misc_RNA from 1 species
AACGCACAUUGCGCCCCUCGGUAUUCCGGGGGGCAUGCCUGUUCGAGCGUCAUUGCACCCCUCAAGCCUGGCUUGGUCUUGGGUCCUCGUCCCCGGGACGUGCCCGAAAACGAGUGGCGGUCCGACGUGACUUCAAGCGCAGUAAAUUUUUCUCCCGCUUUGGAAGCUCACGUGGCGGCUGGCCAUCAACCCAUCUUUAUUUUCAAUGAUUGACCUCGGAUCAGGUAGGGAUACCCGCUGAACUUAA